GCAAGAUGACUUCAUUCAAUGCAGUGAUUCAAAAAAUGGAAAUGACAAAAAGAUUCCCAUUAGUCCAGUCACUUUGCCAAGACCUACCCUGCAGAAGAAAGAUCUUGCCAAGGGCCAAAGUCUGGACAACAUAUCCAUCACAAAACAUGAAGAUGAUGACGAUGAGGUGCAUGAUUAUGAAUAUAUCGAUGAAGAUCAGCUUGACAGCAUAAGGAGGACAUAACAUUAACAUUAACACAGGCAAAGGAAAACCAAUAUAAGUAUACUAUGAAGUUCACUAUGGCUGUGUUCCAAAACCGCUUACUUUAAUUUCACAUGAUGAGACUGACAUGGCCAAAGUCUAUUUAAUAAUGACUGUAAGUCUGAUGGAAUGCAAAUAAUUUAUUAGGUCCUUAUUAGUCCUGUAGGAGAGCAGAUAUGACAUGUCAGUCUUCACAGAAGUGAAGUGAAAAAUUCAGAUAUUGUAUAUUAAAUUCCAUACAAUAUCAUGAAUAUGUUUUGAAAAAUCACAUAGAACCCAUUCAGGCUGUAGAUGAGAGAUAUUAAUAAAUCAUACAGAAAACAUACUUUUUAAAAGGAGGUUCUAGUGUCUGGAUCACAACCUGCUCUUACUCACAAAGCGUCCAGUGCUGCCGCAUGUCCGAGCGAAUGCACGCCACUGUACAGAUGCCAAAAGCUUCACUUAGCGGCUGUUUACCGAUGCAUCCAAGGCUGUGUUGUUUUAACCUGCUGUCACACUGGUGUGCAAGCCGAAUAGUGUUACUGUAUUACAAUUGUCCUUGUUAUAGUGUAGUUAUACAUUUAAGUACUAAGGAAUAUUAAUUAACUAUAUGUACUUACUAUAUGGUUUGAGUUGGGAUUAGGGUUACUUGCAUGUAAAUAUGCAUAAUUAAUUGUUAUUAUAACAGUAAGUACAUGUAACAAGGACACCUUAAAAUAAAGUGUUAUCCACCACCCUGUCAACAUGGCUUAUGACAGGAAUUAAAAUUGAAUUCAAAAUGUAUUGGAAUUGGACAAAAAUGCAACAAUGACAACAAGGAUGCGGCUAUAUUUGGUGAGGAUGGCUUGUGGAUCAUGCACUCUCCAAAAAAUGUCCAAAAAGCUAUCACUGGGGUGACGCUUUUAUACCCUAUUUAUUUAAUGGCUCGUUUUAGUACCCAAGGUAUAGAUAUUAGUACCAUUUAAAAGGGUACUGCCACAGUGACAGCUGCUUUCAAGUAAUGAUGCCAGAGGAAUCACUCUUUUUUUGUAAACAAGUAUAUAUAAAGGCAGUUUUUUGUACAGUCUGGCUAUAUAUAGAAUUGAAAGUGGGUGUAUUUUUUAUAUUAUUUUGUGAAG
rnacentral:lncRNA from 1 species